rnacentral:tRNA from 1 species
CAGGGAAUAGUUUAAUAAGUAAUAUCAGCUUUGGGAGUUGAAGGUGGAGUAAGCUAGCUUCUUCCCUGA